UACGUAGGAUGCGAGCGUUAUCCGGAUUUAUUGGGUUUAAAGGGUGCGUAGGCGGGUUAUCAAGUCAGCGGUAAAAUCGUGGAGCUCAACUCCAUCCAGCCGUUGAAACUGAUGAUCUUGAGUGGGCGAGAAGUAUGCGGAAUGCGUGGUGUAGCGGUGAAAUGCAUAGAUAUCACGCAGAACUCCGAUUGCGAAGGCAGCAUACCGGCGCCCGACUGACGCUGAAGCACGAAAGCGUGGGUAUCGAACAGG
rnacentral:rRNA from 1 species